CGUGGAGGCACAAAUCGAAUCGGAUGCAAACCUCUUCUCACAAAGUAUUCUUUUCUCUCCCAGCCCGGCCGGCCGUCCAGCGCUUUCCCGGUCCGAUUCGAGAACCCACUUUAACUCGCGCGCUUUCCAGAUCCUUCUCCUCUCCAACCAAUCCAGCCACGCGCCCACACGCAUGGAUGAAUUUAUGAAUGAAUGACGUCUCAGCGCUAGCUACCACUUUCAAGUUUAAUCUCCACACGCACCUCGAUCGACUCGGAUCAGCUGGCUAUAAGUACACGCAGCCAGUGCCCAGAGACGCCAUUACUUUACCUGCUCCACCAUAUUUCGCCAUCUCUCGAUCAGCUUUCCUUUGCUUCCGUCGAGCACACGGAGAGACCAACAAAGCUCAUAGCGCUAGCUCUAGCUAGAUCGAUCCCGAGACAGACAGAAGAAGAAGAGAAGGUUAAUUCAUCAAGAUCAAGAUGAGUGAUCCCAAGUACGCCUACCCCUACCCGGCGCAAGGGUACUACCAAGGGCCGUACCAGGGGCCUCCGGUCAUGGCGCCGCCGCAGUACGGCGCCGCGCCGCCGCCCCGGAGGGAGCCCAGCUUCCUCGAAGGCUGUCUGGCUGCCCUUUGCUGCUGCUGCUUGAUCGACGAGUGCUGCUGCGACCCGUCGAUUAUAUUCAUCAGCUAGCUGAUUACAUAAAUCAAGGGCGACCCGCGAUGGCUUGGCCGUGUAUAUGGACUGUACAGGAAACGAGCUGAGCGUCAAGGAUAUAUAUACCGGUUAAUUGAGUUCUUGCUACGCUGCUGUCUAUAUAUAUAUGGCCGAUCUAUAUAUGUAUGUAUAUGUAUCUCGAAUUAAUAAACAUGCACUUGAUGGUUUUAAUUAUUUUCAUUUGA